rnacentral:rRNA from 1 species
UAAUGGGUCAGCGACUUAUAUUCUGUAGCAAGGUUAACCGAAUAGGGGAGCCGAAGGGAAACCGAGUCUUAACUGGGCGUUAAGUUGCAGGGUAUAGACCCGAAACCCGGUGAUCUAGCCAUGGGCAGGUUGAAGGUUGGGUAACACUAACUGGAGGACCGAACCGACUAAUGUUGAAAAAUUAGCGGAUGACUUGUGGCUGGGGGUGAAAGGCCAAUCAAACCGGGAGAUAGCUGGUUCUCCCCGAAAGCUAUUUAGGUAGCGCCUCGUGAAUUCAUCUCCGGGGGUAGAGCACUGUUUCGGCAAGGGGGUCAUCCCGACUUACCAACCCGAUGCAAACUGCGAAUACCGGAGAAUGUUAUCACGGGAGACACACGGCGGGUGCUAACGUCCGUCGUGAAGAGGGAAACAACCCAGACCGCCAGCUAAGGUCCCAAAGUCAUGGUUAAGUGGGAAACGAUGUGGGAAGGCCCAGACAGCCAGGAUGUUGGCUUAGAAGCAGC